ACCAGGUCCAAUUGUAAGAAGUUCUGUAACAGGAACUGCUCGUAGUUGUGGCAAUGAGCAACGAAAUUCGUUUACCAAUUGCACGUGCUGGGACGUAUGAAUUAUUUACUACAAAAUUUUUACCUGUGGUGUCUACCGGUAACCACAAGAAAUAGAACAGCAAAAAGAACUAAAGCAAUUCUCUUCAUUGUUGAAUAUCACGAAAAAUAAUUCACUAGAAGAUUUAAAUAAAAAAGUCCUGUGAUCCCAGGAAGUUUUCGAAUAAAUCAAGAAUCUACUUUCAGAUUAAUCUGUCUUCGAUCCUUGAAAUCUUGGAGAUGCACAAGGAGGAUUAUUCCGAUAGGCAACACCAAGG